GAGUUUGAUCUUGGCUCAGGACUAACGCUGGCGGCGUGCCUAACACAUGCAAGUCGAACGGACACCACUUUGUAGCAAUACAGAUGAAGUGUUAGUGGCAGACGGGUGAGUAACACGUAGUUAACCUGCCUUACCGUCCGGGAUAACUAGCCGAAAGGUUAGCUAAUACCUGAUACGAUCGUCGAGCGGCAUCGCUUGACGAUGAAAGCAGCAAUGCGCGGUUAGAGGGGGCUGCGGCCCAUUAGCUAGUUGGUGAGGUAAUGGCCCACCAAGGCAACGAUGGGUAGCUGGUCUGAGAGGACGGACCAGCCACACUGGGACUGAGACACGGCCCAGACUCCUACGGGAGGCAGCAGUGAGGAAUUUUCCGCAAUGGGCGAAAGCCUGACGGAGCGACGCCGCGUGCACGAGGAAGGCCUU
rnacentral:rRNA from 1 species